rnacentral:rRNA from 1 species
AUUGAACGCUAGCGGGAUGCUUUACACAUGCAAGUCGAACGAGUGGCGGACGGGUGAGUAAUAUAUCGGAACGUGCCCAGUAGCGGGGGAUAACUACUCGAAAGAGUGGCUAAUACCGCCUACUAUUGGAGCGGCCGAUAUCGGAUUAGCUAGUUGGUGGGGUAGAGGCUCACCAGGGCAACGAUCCGUAGCUGGUUUGAGAGGACGACCAGCAGAACGGGGACUGAGACACGGCCCAGAUGCCUACGGUAGGCAGCAGUGGGGAAUUUUGGACAAUGGGGGAAACCCUGAUCCAGCCAUGCCGCGUGUAUGAGAAGGCCUGCGGGUUGUAAAGUACUUUUGGCAGAGAAGCGGUAUCUGCAGAAUAAGCACCGGCUAACUACGUGCCAGCCGCCGCGGUAAUUC